GGAGUGGUGGCCGAGUCAGGUUGAAGGCGCAUCCCUGCUAAGGAUGUGAGGGCGCAAGUCCUCCGUGGGUUCGAAUCCCACCCGCUCCG
rnacentral:tRNA from 1 species